UGCAGAACUCUCAGCUCCUCCUCCAGCACCGCAUCUGCCCGCAUGCCACCAUGCUGCCCACUAUGACGACAAUGCACUGAACCACUGAAACUAUGAUGGAACAAUGAUGCCAUCUUCAAACGUGAUGUUAAACCCUUGAUGCUAUGCCUUGGUGUUGGGCCGUCCAGUUUCCAGGAAACAAACUUCUGCUCCUCAAAAUCACCCUGUCUCAGGUGUGCUGUCACAGUAGCACAACGGGACAGAGAAAGCACUCUGAGCCAGCGCUGGGCUCAGCUCCCCACCCCCUCACACACUCCACACUGAGCAGCACCGGUGCCGAGUGUCCAGUCUUUCUUCUAUGUGAUGUGGGAGGUGGAGCAACAGCAUGAGCAGAGACCAAAGGCCAACAGUGGUAAACCACAGUCAGAACUACAGCCACGUGGUCAAGCAACUGUCAUCAUGUCCUCAGGACUUUUUUUUUUUUUUUUUAAUGGAAAUGAUCAGUACACUGAAUUAGAGAACUUUUGAAGAAUCAGAACAGGGAUCAUGGCCAUGAAACAUAACACUUACACAUUUGAGAUAACUUGACAGAUAAAUGGAUUUUAACUCUUA